GCUUCUGAGGAUGAUCAGAAAAUUAACUUUCCGAGUUGUCCUUGAGGAACAUACAUGGAGACCUGAACUGAAGAGGC
rfam:Glycine soja cultivar W05 scaffold5155_26, whole genome shotgun sequence.